UACAGAGGGGGCAAGCGUUGUUCGGAAUUACUGGGCGUAAAGGGCGCGUAGGCGGCCUUCUAAGUCGAACGUGAAAUCCCCGGGCUCAACCCGGGAACUGCGUCCGAUACUGGAAGGCUUGAAUCCGGGAGAGGGAUGCGGAAUUCCAGGUGUAGCGGUGAAAUGCGUAGAUAUCUGGAGGAACACCGGUGGCGAAGGCGGCAUCCUGGACCGGUAUUGACACUGAGGCACGAAGGCCAGGGGAGCAAACGGG
rnacentral:rRNA from 1 species